UCCGAUAUCGUCUAGUGGUCAGGAUACCGGUUUUGUCAAUCAGGAGACUCGGGUUCGAAUCCCGAUAUCGGUA
rnacentral:tRNA from 1 species